UACGUAGGGCGCAAGCGUUGUCCGGAAUUAUUGGGCGUAAAGAGCUCGUAGGCGGUUUGUCGCGUCUGCUGUGAAAACCUGAGGCUCAACCUCGGGCUUGCAGUGGGUACGGGCAGACUAGAGUGCGGUAGGGGUGACUGGAAUUCCUGGUGUAGCGGUGAAAUGCGCAGAUAUCAGGAGGAACACCGGUGGCGAAGGCGGGUCUCUGGGCAACAACUGACGCUGAGGAGCGAAAGCGUGGGGAGCGAACAGG
rnacentral:rRNA from 1 species